CAUUUAGAGGAAGGAGAAGUUCGUAACAAGGUUUCCGUAGGUGAACCUGCGGAAGGAUCAUUGUCGAGUCCCGAACAUGGAAGACCGCGAACUUGUAAACGGAUUACCUGGGGUGAUUGGGCUAGUCCCAAGCGCCCUGGGGCCCUGCCCCCUCGUCUCAGGCGGAGACGCCUCGGACGGGGUAGGCAGGGGACGGACAAAACCCCGGCGCGGCGAGCGCCAAGGAUCAUUUAAUUGGAGUAGGGCGUGCCGUGGCCUUUGAGGCCGCUGGUGCUCCCUAAAAAUCUUUAAGACUCUCGGCAACGGAUAUCUCGGCUCUUACAUCGAUGAAGAACGUAGCGAAAUGCGAUACUUGGUGUGAAUUGCAGAAUCCCGUGAACCAUCGAGUCUUUGAACGCAAGUUGCGCCCGAGGCCUUUGGGUCGAGGGCACGCCUGCCUGGGCGUCACGCCUCGCAUCGUACUGCACCCACUGCCCUCAAGGGUGGGGUGCGGCUUCGGAGAUUGGCCUUCCAUGCGUUCGAGCAUGGUGGGCUUAAGAGAGGGCUGUCGGUCGGGUCGGCACGACGAGUGGUGGACUUCUUGCCAGCAGGAUGUCGUGUCCCAGACCGUCGAAGAGCCAGAAACACCCGCAUUGGGCGUGCGGAUGCGCUCCCGCUUGGGAGGGUGCCGCCGCCUCGCAACGUGACCCCAGGUCAGGCGGGGACACCCGCUGAGUUUAAGCAUAUCA
rnacentral:rRNA from 1 species